CCGAAAGCUUACCUCGGACUCUGCAUAGUAGGAACUCCAGUCUGUGUGGUCGUGUCCUUCCAUUUUCACUGCGCCUAGCAUACUGGAGAUUUCGAAGGGGGAGGGGGUCGUGUGGAAUGGAGGGAAUUUCUACCUCACUUCUUUGGGGGAAAAAAAAGUCCAAAAGAAAAACCUGGUCCAUUGGAAAUGUCCGCGCUGCAACCGAGCGUGUGGGCCGUUCUUAGAUUUUCCAGCAGCAAGCAGAGACUUCCCCAGAGCAAAUGUUUACUGAAAAACACCUCGUCUGGCUCACAGCGCUCAAAGCUGUAAAAGUUGACCUUGUUUGCAUUUACUUUCCGAAGGGGAGUGUUACACAAACUUUAUUUUUAAAAAGAAAGUGUUAGCGGCUCGUCCCCUCCUGCAACAAAAAAAACGCGACACCUGAUAGUGACUCACAGCCCAGCCAAAUUAUUAUUCUGAAGGCUCCACGAAAUUACCCAAAAGCUGUUGAUGAACAGUAGGACCCUGGGAAGUACUGAGGAUCAGAAGGACAAUGUUAUGCAUGCCCACUGAUCCCUUAAAGAUAGUGGGACAAGUAGCAAUUUAAUCCAGAGAUGCACAUCCUGGCCUGAUUUCAUUUGGUAUUGGACCGAUAUUUGACAGGCCACAAGAAACUACAGAGAGUCGUGAACAUAGCCCAUUCCAUCAUGCAAACCAGUCUUCCACCCAUUGACUUCCUACUGCCUCAGGAGAGCAAGAAACAUAAUCAAAGAUCUUUUGCACCUCGGUUAUAAAUGCUUCCACCCUCUUCCAUCGGGCAGAAGAUAUGAACAUUUGAAUAUAUGUGUGAAUAGAUUUAAGAACAGCUUAUUCCCCACUGCUAUCAGACUUUUGAAUAGAUCUCACAAAUGUUAAUUCUGAUCUGUCUCUCUCUCUCUCUCUCUGCGCCCUCUCUGUGGCUGUAACACUACAGGUGGCACUCUGUGUUGCUAGCCUGUGCACUUUCUGUAGUAUGAUCUGCCUGUUUAACACAUAAAACAACACUUUUCACUGUAUCCGAGGAUGAGACAAUAGUCAAUCAAUCAACCACUUAAAAAUCUCUCAGCAGAAAGCUUAUUGCUUGACACGUCUAGAUUUUUGUUGAAAGACUGUUCAUUGCUAAAUAGGCAGAAAUGAUCUGAAUUUGGGUCUUGAAGGCAAUAAUAUCAAUAUUUUACUGCUUGUACCAAAUUGGGGAGGAUGUAUGUCAAAUUGUGAUGAGGUUGUGAAGUCAGAGAUGAUGGCCAAUACGGACAGGUGUGAAGUAAUGUAUUUUGUAAAAGUGAACUACUGCAGAUGCUGAAAAUCUGUAACAAUCCCAGAAAUUGUUGGAGAAACUCAGCAGGUCUGGCAGUAUCUGCAGAGAGAGAAACAGAGUUAACAUUUUGAAUGCAAUGCAAUCUUUCUUCUGAACAUUUCUUCUGAAGAAGAGUCACACUGGACUCAAAAUUUUCUUGAUUCUAAUGAGUUUGCUUUUUAAAGGAAGAAAUAGGAGUUAAAUUUUAAUGUAAACACAAAUCCCUUAACACAUACAGCUCGUUGACCAUCAGAAAAUUCUACAUUUGGAUUCCUGUGAGCAAGGCAGAGUGACAGGUUUGAUUAUUCAGGAUGGUCCUUAAAUCAUUCGCACUAGGUAUAGUAGUUAUAAGCAUAUUCCAUGGCAAUAUGUAGAAAUGAUAAGGCAACUACAAUAUGGAACACGUCAUCAGAAAUGUACACCUGGCAGGGUUCUAAGAAACUACAAAAAAAAUCAAAAGACUUAAACAUUAAAUGGUGACAUGGGAUGGUUUACAUCUAUUCUAGGUUUAUUGGUGCAACAUGGGCUGUUUUUCCCUUCCAGCAGGCCUGAUUUGGUGAAAAAACAGUUGCUUCGGGGUUGCCUUCCAUUUACUGGUGGUUUCUGAGGUUGGCAGUUCAGUGGAGAUGUUCUGCUGCUGUCAAAAAAGCCUAAGGAAAAGACCUUUAGUAAACCCUUUGCAUGUCAAAGUUUCACUGCUGUAUUUAAUGCUGUAACGUUUCUUGGAAGCUCUCCAGUUCUAUUGUAUGCAAAGGCAGCCUUGUGAAAAUUAGUUCAUCGGAGAUGAAACACCUUUGAUAAUCUGCGUUUGGAGUUGCAAUCCACAUUGUGGAGCUCGCAGUUCACUGUGAACUGCCUAAGCAAUGUACUAGCCAGACUCAUUCUCUGCAAGAUGAAAAGUAAUUGUUUCAAAGGGCGCACGUUGAUUUGUUUGACCGUAACUGCAACUGCCAUUGUCUCCCAGUUUAUCAGAGAGCACACAAUACCAACUUGUAUUCCAACUCAGAUGCCCUAGGUUUAUGGGAACUAUCUGAUGGGGGAUGUGGAAUCAUCUUCCAUCACCCUUUUCUGCCUCUGAAGUAAUAUAUGCAUGACAGUACUGCAGUGCGGAGAAGGAAUUUGCAAGUUGCACUUUGCAAAAAAAAAGCAAUGACAUGUGUUAAAGAGAAAACUGGGCAGCUGUGCUAUUUUAACACCAGGAUGUGUCCCUUGCCCCCUCCAGUCUGUCUGUAUCACAAGUAGAACAUCACUUCCUAGGUGAAGAAAGUCAAGUUUGGCUGUGGCUGCAGGGAGUCAAUGAAGUGCAAAUCUGUUUAAUGUCAGUCUUAUUCUAUGACAGUACAGUAACUCAGCAAGCAGUCAGCACUGAACAAAGAUACAAUCCACAUCCUGCACUGAGGGUGAUCUAAGAGGGCUUGGGCUGUAACAACAGAUAAUGCAUACUUAAACAUUUUAGGUAGGCAGGGCCACCCUAGUUGGGCCAUUUUAAAUUGUUGUUCAUGAUGGGCACAUUAGUUUAAUUCAACCCCACAUUGUUAAUCACAAAACCUUGCAAAUGGAUAAUCACCACAUCGACACAGGUCAGAAUUCCAUCAGGAAGGAAAUAGCUUCUUAAGAAAAUCACUCGUGACGCCACCAUUUUAAAUCCCUUUAAACCAAUCUGAACCAGAUUAUUCAACAUGUGUUCAGGAAAAGUUUUAAUUGGUGUAAAGUUAGAUUAGCAUCUGUUAGAUCUUUCUGAUAGGACUAAUUUGCUCACACAGGUCUAACCAGGGCUGAAUGGGCAAUUUUGUGAUUUCACGCCAUCCCCAGUGGGUGAUCUGAAGCCAGCUGACAGCUCUGAAAUUUAAUUCAAAAACUAAAUAUCGUUUUAGAAAACAAUUUAGCCCGAGACCCACUGUUGCUUCUAGUAGCAUUCACACAUUUAUUGCAGGUGAGCGUGUGACUUUAGCAAAGAAAAUAAAUAAAUGGGAGUUAAAAUCAGCAGUAAAACGACUGACAGAGAAAUUGCAUAUGAUUAUAUUCAGUGUUUAGCUGCUUGUAUCAUCAAUACUAAUUUGUAAAUCUGUACGAUCUGUUCCUUUUCCUUUGUUAGUGUUGCAAUAUGUCACUUUCUAUUUCGAAGAAGUUAAUUCACCUGGUCCUAACCUGUUUUGCAAGAUUACUGUGGUCAAUAAGUUGCAGACAGAAUUCCAGUGCUAUUACCAACCUUCACCUUAAAGUACCAUUUUGCUGAUCUUAUCUGCUCACCGUAUUCCCAUCAGAUUGCCAGAUCUCACUUCCCAGUCACCUUUGCUAACUGACACUAACUGAUUCACCCUCCUCGGCUACUGUCCUGAUAUUUCCAAGAUUGCAGACACCGUCACAUAUCCAAGAGCCUGCCCAUGACCCAGUGCCCAGCAAAAACAGCCCUGUCUUCAUUCUUUCAUUUCCUUUAAAAAUGCUUGAAGUGUUGUUCCCAAUUCUGUCUGACCUUUCACUCCACUUGAAGCUUGAAUCUUUUACUUUCAAGUGCACUUUAAGCCAUACAUCAUUCUGACUUGUGCUAUAUCACUGUUUCUUCACUAUUGCAGUGUCAAAAUCCUGGAACUAUUCUCCUAACAGCACAUCCCCACACCACAUGGACUGCAGCAGCUCAAGGCAGCAGCUGACCAUCACCUUCUCAGGGGCAAUUAGAGGUUGAAAAUAUAUAAUGUUGACUUAGCCUGCGCACCUAUCUCCCAUGAUGAAAAUUAAGAAAAGGUUCCUUUUCCACAUGGAAAUAGUCUGAACUGACAUCACAAUCACACCCCCUUGACCGUGAUCAAAGUACACAUUCCUUUCUUGGUCACCUUUCUUUUCUUUUGUGCAAUCCUUGACUGACUCAACUGCGGAAUUUUCACUGCCUUUACACAGCAUUCCCCACUUCACCACAAUAUCCAGGCCUCACAGAUUGAAGGAUGAGUGCCUACGGUGAUGUCCAUCCAGUCAUUAACUAA